GAGUAGUAAACCACACUUUUUAGAAAAGAAAUUUUUUAGUGAAGAAAUUAGUGCUUUUAAAAUCAAGCUUGAUGAAGUUCGAUGAGUAGAAAAAUUGACACAAUCUAGUAAACCCAUAGAACUCGAUUUGAUUCAAUCAAAUUCAAAACCUAUUAUUAAUGCACCAUUAAGAAGGUCCGAUAGAGUAUCAUGCCCACCAGAUAGAUACUAUAAUUUUUUGAUCCAGGAUGG
rnacentral:lncRNA from 1 species